rnacentral:SRP_RNA from 1 species
GCCGGGCAUGGUGGCGGGCACCUGUAAUCCCAGCUACUUGGGAGGCUGAGGUGGGAGAAUCACUUGAACCCAGGAAGUGGGGGUUGCAGUAAGCUGAGAUCAUGCCACUGCACUCCACCCUGGGUGACAGAGCGAGACCCCAUUUCAA